GGUGCCAGUUACAGCACCAAACAGACUAAAGCUGAAAGGACACUUAGAAAAUCAGCACAGCCCCUGUGCAAGGAUGACAAGCAAAUUCAUGAAGCAUUCUGUAGUUUU
ensembl:snRNA U6 U6 spliceosomal RNA